UGAAUGAGUAGUAAUACGAGUUCAGUCUAGUGGCGCUUUUGUGAGUAACAUGUGAAUUACAUGCCCUUCAGUGGGGAAUUGCCCAGGGAAACUUGGAUUAAUACCCCAUGGUAUCGCAAGAUUAAAGGUGGCCGCAAGGCUGUCGCUGAAGGAUUGGUUCGCACCCUAUCAGCUUGUUGGUGAGGUAAUGGCUCACCAAGGCUACGACGGGUACCUGGUCUGAGAGGACGAUCAGGCACACUGGAACUGAGACACGGUCCAGACACCUACGGGUGGCAGCAGUCGAGAAUAAUUCACAAUGGGGGCAACCCUGAUGGUGCAACGCCGCGUGGAGGAUGACGGUCUUCGGAUUGUAAACUCCUGUCAUCUGGGAGUAAGACCUGGUCGUUAAUAGCGGACAGGGUUGAUAGUACCAGAAGAGGAAGGGACGGCUAACUUCGUGCCACCAGCCGCGGUAAUACGAAGGUCCCAAGCGUUGUUCGGAAUCACUGGGCGUAAAGGGAGCGU
rnacentral:rRNA from 1 species